CAGUAGCCACGGUAAUACGAAGGGUGCAAGCGUUACUCGGAAUUACUGGGCGUAAAGCGUGCGUAGGUGGUCGUUUAAGUCUGUUGUGAAAGCCCUGGGCUCAACCUGGGAACUGCAGUGGAAACUGGACGACUAGAGUGUGGUAGAGGGUAGCGGAAUUCCUGGUGUAGCAGUGAAAUGCGUAGAGAUCAGGAGGAACAUCCAUGGCGAAGGCAGCUACCUGGACCAACACUGACACUGAGGCACGAAAGCGUGGGGAGCAAACAGGAUUAGAUACCCCUGUAGUCCCUGUCUCUUAUAC
rnacentral:rRNA from 1 species